CCUACGGGAGGCAGCAGUAGGGAAUCUUCCACAAUGGACGAAAGUCUGAUGGAGCAACGCCGCGUGUGUGAUGAAGGGUUUCGGCUCGUAAAACACUGUUGUAAGAGAAGAAUGACAUUGAGAGUAACUGUUCAGUGUGUGACGGUAUCUUACCAGAAAGGAACGGCUAAAUACGUGCCAGCAGCCGCGGUCAUACGCAUGUUACAAGCGUUAUCCGGAUUUAUUGGGCUUAAAGCGAGCGCAGACGGUUAUUUAACUCGGAAGAGAAAGCGCAGAGCUUAACUGUGGAAGUGCUUUGGAAACUGGAUAACUUGAGUGCAGUAGAGGAGAGUGGAAAUCCAUGUGUAGCGGUGAAAUGCGUAGAUAUAUGGAAGAACACCAGUGGCGAAGGCGGCUCUCUGGACUGUAACUGACGUUGAGGCUCGAAAGUGUGGGUAGCAAACAGGAUUAGAUACCCGGGUAGUC
rnacentral:rRNA from 1 species